rnacentral:tRNA from 1 species
AAUAGCUUUAUAGUUUAUACAAAAUAUCCGCUUGUGGUGUGGGAGAUGAAGAGGCUU